AGCCUCGCCCCAACUCCAACCUCAAAAAACUAGUCAUUCGGAAUUCUGAAAGACCACAGCACUCUAUGUCUACUUCUAUUAUAGAUUCAUAUUUGACCAUAAUUAUUUAUUUCAACAUUUCUCUGCACUACCAGACUUUGAGUUCCCUGGAACUAAAAAUAUUGCUUGGACCUCACGCUGUACCUGAAUACCUGGUGGGAGAGCCAGGGUUUGAAUCAGUCUUGUGUUGUCUGUUGAACUGGGUGCUGAAUGGAAUCCACCUAAACUGGCUCGUCCUCAAACUUCAUACCAGAGCAAUGAAUCACCUUCAAAGCUAACUCAGGGAGCAUAUUGGCUCCAAAGACCAUUAACCCUGGGAACUCCCCAACUGAAAGGCAUUAAGAACUUAUUUGCCUCAUAACCCAAAUUCCUGCUCCCCAAUAAAAAAUGAGUAACAUCAGGGUAUAAAAUGCCAGCUGGAAGAGUAUUCGCAACCAUAUACAAUGAAGAGUCACACUUCCAAGAAGAAAGCCGAUGUCCCACUUCAGCAUCAAAUCUAAGACACUGCAUUUCACUUUUUCUGUACAAAUAUCAUAAUCUGUUUGUUAAUCUCUUGGUUUUAUUUCAAAAAUGAAACUAUAUUUAGAGAGGGAACAAAUUCUACCAGUUGCUGUUGGAAGCAAAAGAUCUUUUUCAUUCUUGGAUGCUUUAUAUUUGGACAGAGAAAGAAUCAGAAUCCAUCCUUCUUUUUCCUAACCGGAAUUUGAGAGACAUGAGAAGGGAACUAAACACACAGGCUUCAGGAUCUGGUGGAAAGAGAUAAGGUGUCUCAACGACUGUUGGCCUCAUCAAGAGAUACUACCCCUGAUCUUUUCAUUUCACUUUCCUCGGGUCUGCCUAAACUCAGUGUCUCUCCUAGAAAACCACCCAACUCAUGAAAAACUGUUUGUAAGAAAAUGUUCUCAACACAAAGAAAUAAUAAAGGUUUGAGAUGAUAAA
ensembl:lncRNA LINC02098 long intergenic non-protein coding RNA 2098